rnacentral:lncRNA from 1 species
CAAGGAAGGACUUUCUGGAAUCUACUUAUCUGACCAAGAAAGCUUCUUUCCAAAAGAAAUGCAAUUGUCUUGAGACUUCUUCCCUAGGGAUCUGAUCAACUAACCAGAAAAGAGCAACCACCAGAGAAGAGACUGUGGGUGUCAUUGUGACUGGCUGCUACCUCCCCAUGAGUCUUCUAAAAUAAAACCUGCAAAUUCACAUCUUCCCCAUGCUUCCAGAGAAUGCAUAUUCUUCCUUUGAAAAAAGAAAACCAGGUAGUCGUACAGUGUCCAGAAGGCAAAAGGACAAGUAUGCACUGCCCUACUUACCUACUUUCCACACUGCUGCACAGGAAAAUCUGACAGAGGACAAUAACAAACAUCUCACCAGCUCAUGCGUUCUUUUUUGAUCCUAAUUCCGAGAGACUCACCAAAGACAUGAAGAGAAAACAAACAAUACUUUUCUUGGAAAUAUUGUAAUUGCUGGUACAUUUGUUGUUCUGGCAUAAAGUAGAAAUUGUCAGGUAAACAUUGCUUCCUUUUGGAUCAAAAAGAAAUUUAACCAAAUAAAUGCAAGAGGUAUGAGGGAAGAUAAUGGGAAAUAAAUGAGAUUUGAGAAAUCA